rnacentral:rRNA from 1 species
GACGAACGCUGGCGGCGUGCCUAAUACAUGCAAGUAGAACGCACAGUUUAUACCGUAGCUUGCUACACCAUAGACUGUGAGUUGCGAACGGGUGAGUAACGCGUAGGUAACCUGCCUGGUAGCGGGGGAUAACUAUUGGAAACGAUAGCUAAUACCGCAUAAUAUUAAUUAUUGCAUGAUAAUUAAUUGAAAGGUGCAAUUGCACCACUACCAGAUGGACCUGCGUUGUAUUAGCUAGUAGGUGAGGUAACGGCUCACCUAGGCGACGAUACAUAGCCGACCUGAGAGGGUGAUCGGCCACGCUGGGACUGGGACACGGCCCAGACUCCUACGGGAGGCAGCAGUAGGGAAUCUUCGGCAAUGGACGAAAGUCUGACCGAGCAACGCCGCGUGAGUGAAGAAGGUUUUCGGAUCGUAAAGCUCUGUUGUAAGAGAAGAACGGGUGUGAGAGUGGAAAGUUCACACUGUGACGGUAUCUUACCAGAAAGGGACGGCUAACUACGUG